ensembl:lncRNA
AUGAUAAACGUAUGUAUGUCCUUCAUGUCCUACAGUUCUUCAUCAAAGCAGCAGAGGGAGCCUCAAUGCGUCCUGAUGUCCCCUCCAGCUGAUCAGACAGCUGUUCUCUAUCAAAUUACAGAAGUAAUAACAACAAACAGGACAACAAGGAGCACUUCAGUUUAUCACGUUCCAACACAUCUAGAGGAAUCCUUGUUUGACACAAGUGACCCGGACCUCAGCUGGAGCUGGACCCUCCAGGUGCGCGCUGACGAGCCCGAGGAGCGUGCGUGCCGCUGGUCGGAGUCACGCGCACAGGUGAGCUCGGCAUCGUGCGUCCGGGACAGAGUGCGCGGGCUGUACGUGCGCGUGCGCGGCGCGGAUCUCCUCCUCGCGGCCACACCGAGGAAGUCGUGUCCCGAACUUCUCCCCCUUUUUCUCCCCGUUUUCUCCCCGCUGCUUCCGGGCCGCUCGGCUGCGGAGCUCCACGAGGACCCGGUGCCCCGGAGACCGGCAGCUCCGCGCGGGAGAGAGAGCGCGUUUCCACGGCAACACGCGGAAGCGUUUGUGUGGACCAGAAACUCCAACCAAAGCACCACAGAAGAAGAAGAAGAAGUUUGCGUAGAAGCAGAAGAAGAAGCACAAACGGCAGGAAGCCAAGAUGGGGAGGAAGAAGAUCCAGAUCGCACGAAUCAUGGACGAACGGAACAGACAUCCGUUUGAAAGUCACGUGUGUGUCACGCUGACACACACAGACACAGACACACAUCCACUUCCUGGAAGUGAGGUCACACGUGUCGGCGUUAAUUUAAAACCAGAUGAGGUGGUUUCCCUCUGAGGGGAUCUUACCGGGCUGCAGGUUCAGCUCUGUGAUUAUGGAAGAAGUCCAUUAAAACCCAAAUCCUCUUCGUCCUCCGGGA